AUGAUGAUUAAUGUAGGUUUUCCCACGUUCAGGCUCAACACCUUCCUCAGAUCUGCAGUUAUGCCUAUCAUUGCAGCAUAUGGCCCCUGGAGCUCUGGUUUUGGUCUUAGAGAUGCAAGAGUGGAGUUUAGAGUUGCAAUUACUGAAGAGGAGGGGAUGCUAACUAUUACUGAAGCUACCAAAACUGUCACCCUGCAUAAUUCUACUAAUGCUCUUGUUGAACAGAUGCCCAUGGAAACUGUUUUCUCUAUGUCUGAACCGAUCAAUGAUGUUGAUUCAGUUGAUGAUCACAGUGUCUCUGCACCUUUACUGGCUAUCGCUCCUCCCCUUCUGAGUUCCACUUCUCUGAACCGACUGUUGGAGAGCAGUGCCCCCUUGAGAAUUCCUUGA
rnacentral:rRNA from 1 species